rnacentral:rRNA from 1 species
AUUGAACGCUAGCGGGAUGCUUUACACAUGCAAGUCGAACGAGUGGCGGACGGGUGAGUAAUAUAUCGGAACGUGCCCAGUAGCGGGGGAUAACUACUCGAAAGAGUGGCUAAUACCGCAUACCAUCGGAGCGGCCGAUAUGGGAUUAGCUAGUAGGUGGGGUAAAGGCUCACCAAGGCAACGAUCCCUAGCUGGUUUGAGAGGACGACCAGCCACACUGGAACUGAGACACGGCCCAGACUCCUCCGGGAGGCAGCAGUGGGGAAUUUUGGACAUUGGGGGCAACCUGGAUGCAGCCAUCCCGCGUGUAUGAGAAGGCCUUCGGGUUGUACAGUACUUUUGGCAAGGAAGCGGUAUCUGCAGAAUAAGCACCGGCUAACUCCGUGCCAGCAGCCGCGGUAAUAG